UACGUAGGGUGCGAGCGUUGUCCGGAAUUAUUGGGCGUAAAGAGCUUGUAGGCGGUUUGUCGCGUCUGCCGUGAAAAUCCGGGGCUCAACCCCGGACUUGCGGUGGGUACGGGCAGACUAGAGUGUGGUAGGGGAGACUGGAAUUCCUGGUGUAGCGGUGAAAUGCGCAGAUAUCUGGAGGAACACCGGUGGCGAAGGCGGCAUCCUGGACCGGCAUUGACGCUGAGGCGCGAAAGCCAGGGGAGCAAACGGG
rnacentral:rRNA from 1 species